rnacentral:rRNA from 1 species
UUGAACGCUGGCGGCAGGCCUAACACAUGCAAGUCGAGCGGUAGCACAGAGAGCUUGCUCUCGGGUGACGAGCGGCGGACGGGUGAGUAAUGUCUGGGAAACUGCCUGAUGGAGGGGGAUAACUACUGGAAACGGUAGCUAAUACCGCAUAAUGUCGCAAGACCAAAGUGGGGGACCUUCGGGCCUCAUGCCAUCAGAUGUGCCCAGAUGGGAUUAGCUAGUAGGUGGGGUAACGGCUCACCUAGGCGACGAUCCCUAGCUGGUCUGAGAGGAUGACCAGCCACACUGGAACUGAGACACGGUCCAGACUCCUACGGGAGGCAGCAGUGGGGAAUAUUGCACAAUGGGCGCAAGCCUGAUGCAGCCAUGCCGCGUGUGUGAAGAAGGCCUUCGGGUUGUAAAGCACUUUCAGCGGGGAGGAAGGCGGUGAGGUUAAUAACCUCAUCGAUUGACGUUACCCGCAGAAGAAGCACCGGCUAACUCCGUGCCAGCAGCCGCGGUAAUACGGAGGGUGCAAGCGUUAAUCGGAAUUACUGGGCGUAAAGCGCACGCAGGCGGUCUGUCAAGUCGGAUGUGAAAUCCCCGGGCUCAACCUGGGAACUGCAUUCGAAACUGGCAGGCUAGAGUCUUGUAGAGGGGGGUAGAAUUCCAGGUGUAGCGGUGAAAUGCGUAGAGAUCUGGAGGAAUACCGGUGGCGAAGGCGGCCCCCUGGACAAAGACUGACGCUCAGGUGCGAGAGCGUGGGGAGCAAACAGGAUUAGAUACCCUGGUAGUCCACGCCGUAAACGAUGUCGAUUUGGAGGUUGUGCCCUUGAGGCGUGGCUUCCGGAGCUAACGCGUUAAAUCGACCGCCUGGGGAGUACGGCCGCAAGGUUAAAACUCAAAUGAAUUGACGGGGGCCCGCACAAGCGGUGGAGCAUGUGGUUUAAUUCGAUGCAACGCGAAGAACCUUACCUGGUCUUGACAUCCACAGAACUUUCCAGAGAUGGAUUGGUGCCUUCGGGAACUGUGAGACAGGUGCUGCAUGGCUGUCGUCAGCUCGUGUUGUGAAAUGUUGGGUUAAGUCCCGCAACGAGCGCAACCCUUAUCCUUUGUUGCCAGCGGUUAGGCCGGGAACUCAAAGGAGACUGCCAGUGAUAAACUGGAGGAAGGUGGGGAUGACGUCAAGUCAUCAUGGCCCUUACGACCAGGGCUACACACGUGCUACAAUGGCAUAUACAAAGAGAAGCGACCUCGCGAGAGCAAGCGGACCUCAUAAAGUAUGUCGUAGUCCGGAUUGGAGUCUGCAACUCGACUCCAUGAAGUCGGAAUCGCUAGUAAUCGUAGAUCAGAAUGCUACGGUGAAUACGUUCCCGGGCCUUGUACACACCGCCCGUCACACCAUGGGAGUGGGUUGCAAAAGAAGUAGGUAGCUUAACCUUCGGGAGGGCGCUUACCACUUUGUGAUUCAUGACUGGGGUG